rnacentral:misc_RNA from 1 species
CUAUCCUACCGCUUCUUGGCCCGCCGCGCCAGAGACGACGAGCCACCGGCGCCGGCAUCCCGGAAGAUGGAGCAGGGCGCGCAGCAGAUGGCGAGCACCCUCGGCGACGGUGGCUCGGCGGCCGGGGCUACGUCCCUGGUCCGAAACGCCUUCCUGCCAGGCACCAGCUCCUCCUGCUUCUUGUGGUGGCCCUUCAGGUUCGGCUUGGCCAGCGUCAGCUUCCUCUUGUCGUCGCGAUCUGCCUCGCCGCCGAGCAGCAGCAUGGCGACGCUGCCGACGCUCCUCGAGUGCCGCAGCUCCGGCUGCUGGCGUGGCGCCGCC